GGCUCUUGUUAAAAUGCAACAUCCCAUCCAGUAGGUCUGGGAUGGGCCCAAGAUUCUGCAUUUCUAACAAGCUC
rnacentral:miRNA from 1 species